AGAUGUUUAAGGAGAAGAAGUCAUCAAGGGAGAGUUUCGUCUGUGGAGCUUGCGGUGAGGGUUGUUGAUAGGAGAAUCUUCAGCAUACGUGAUGUGUUAUGCAAAUUGCCUGGCUGAAUGUCUCGUAUCGAAAACACUUCCACCUUUUUGUGCAUAUAAGUGCUUGAAAGAGUGUUCAACUCCAACCGAUAUUGCCAAACUCAAUUGUGCAAUAUCUAAAUGCAUCAACAUCAAUAUCACAGAUCAUGCUGCGUUGGACCAACACAAAGCUUGCUUGGAUUCAUGCAGAAUGAUGGACAAAAACUAAUUGCCUGCCUGCCUAAUAAAAAGCCACUACUGCUUAUUGUUUUUAAAUUGUAAUUGCUUUGUUAUUGAAUGAAUAAAGUUAUAAAUAAAACUUUUAUCUGGAAACA